GAUGAAGAACGCAGCGAAAUGCGAUACGUAAUGUGAAUUGCAGAAUUCAGUGAAUCAUCGAAUCUUUGAACGCAUAUUGCGCUCUCUGGUAUUCCGGAGAGCAUGCUUGUUUGAGUAUCAGUAAACACCUCAACUUCCAUAUCUUUUUUGAAAUGGGAGUUGGACUUGAGUGAUCCCAACGCUUUUCCUCACCGAAAAGUGGCGGGUUACUUGAAAUGCAGGUGCAGCUGGACUUUUCUCUGAGCUAUAAGCAUAUAUAUUUAGUCUGCCUAAAAAACAGAUUAUUACCUUUGCGGCAGCUAACAUAAAGGAGAUUAGUUCUUGUGCUGACUGAUGCAGGAUUCACAAAGACAGGCUUCGGCCGACUUUGUAAACUCGAUCUCAAAUCAAGUAAGACUACCCGCUGAACUUAAGCAUAUCAAUAAGCGGAGGA
rnacentral:misc_RNA from 1 species